CGUUCACACCGCCUACCUCCGCUGUUCGGCUCCCAAAGAGGCCAACACCAGGCAGUCCUCGCGCUUACCGGCCGAGCCCUGACGGCGCUAUUUCUGCUCUUUCAGCAGCAACAAAUAUUUCAUUUUGUGACAAGCGAUUUCUAGGAGAAGCCAGUAUGAUAUGACAGAAAAUUACAGCUUAAGAGAGGAGGAAAGAGAAGGAGCAGAUGAUAUCUCAUAACCCUGCAAACAAAUCCUGUUGUCAUGAAAAGUAUGCCUAUUAAUAGCUACAAAGAUGAAGGAAAACAGGAAUACAGACCUUAAGCCAGAAAGAACCAUGAUGAUAAAUGAUCUGUUGUACAAUUUUGAAAAAAAAUCCUUCACUUCUUUAUGCCCUCUCUGGCCAUCUGUGACAUGAUGAUAACUAGGGGUGUGAGUAACAUAAAGCACUGGAUUUACUGCUUUCCUCCAACUUGUGGAGUACUCUAGAGCUGCCUGAGAGAGAGCAUGAAGAGUAAGACAGCAUGUAAUGAAAGAUGCAUCAGUACUUGUUUAAAAUUAUAAUCCAGGCUCUUCUACAGUAUGUCUUGCUUGAAUAGAAGUCUCAAAAGACCUAAUCAAAGAUGUCAGGUUUUCUAGUUCUCCACAGUCUAGAAUUUCCUCAAACCAUUGGAUUUUGUGUAGCUUAGCAUCGUGAUGAAUUGGAAAGAUACAGACUUCCCACAUUUCACAGAUGACUAGAGUCCAGUAAGAAGGAAAGAAUCAAACAUUCAUGGCUAAGAGACUUGAAAGACAGAAAGCAAUGCACAGUUUAAACCUCUGCUUUCUGAACUGUUAAUAUAUUUAACACUGAAGAAGGUAAAAAAAAUCCAGCAGCUCAGAACACCUCAAGCCUGGAACUGUUCCUGGAGUCUCCUGCAGGUGUCACGAGACCAUUAACCAGUGUCUGUGCAGGGGCCGUGUCACUUCCCUGAAGGUUAUAGCCCAUGUCAGUGGGCUGUGGGAGCUAUAAGAGGUCAAAUGAGAUUCAGAGCACACACAAGGAGAAAGACAUCGGUGGAGCAUGAAGGUUCACGUGCUGUUGUGUUGCCUUCUGAGAAAAGAGGAUUCUGGGCUUUGGUGUCAAUUUUCAAGAUCAUGUCUGUGUUUUACAUUCUGGUAGUACUGCUGGCAGACCAGAAGGCUUUGUGAAGAAGAAAUCUGCAUCUGUACUCUCUGAGUGAAAUGGACUAAUUACUUGCUACACCUACAUGCUAAUGGCUGGGGUUACUUAGAUUGUUGUCUGCCAAAAUAUUCUUUGUUACAGGCUUUGAAGCUUGUAUGGCUGAGGAAGAAACUUUAUCAGUGUCUCCAUUCACGUAAGACACCUCUAAUCACCUGACUGCGAAGACACACGAGGCCUUUAAAAAAGUAGUGGUUUUACUUACUUUUAGAUCACUAAACCCACAAAAAAAAAAUCUUGCUUGAGUGAGCAAGGUUGGUAUUUUCCAUGUGACCUGUUUUUUGAGCUUUUAGUCCUUGUUUACCUAAUUGAAAGAGUCCUGAAAAUGGACUGGCACAUCACACACAACAUUCCGGUUAGAAAGAUAGCUCACAUCCACUGGUGCGAAGGCUUGGGACUUCGCUGAAACUGGUACCAUGUGAAGUAAAAUUCACUUGUUUUCAGGACAUCCACAAAAGGACUUCUCAAGCUCUGUUAUGAACAGAUGCCCAAGCUACUGGCUGUGUUCUGCAUUCAUAGAUCUCACUGUGCUCCUUGGAAGGUGGUCAGCUUCUAACCUGAGGGGUACAGCUUCUGCUUUAAACUUUGUAGCUGGCUGUGCUAAGAAGCACAUGUUCGAAGCAAAAAUAAACACCUGCUUGAAGAGUGUAUAUGUGGCUGGUAACAGAAGAAAAAGAAAGAAAAAUGUGGGUUAAGAGCUGCUCAAUGUGGUAUUUGUUUGUUGACUGCUGAUAGACUUUGUACAGACAGAACUUCAUCAAUAACCCUACUCAGAAAACUGUCUCCUAAAUAUAGUGUUACCUUGCAGUUGUUUGUACACAUUCACUGAGAAUAACAAAGAAUUUGGCCAUUUUAAGUGGGAACAGUGAGUUAUAUAUCAUAGAAUCAUAUAUGCCCACUGACACUUGAUUACUUUGUACUAAUUGAUUUAGUAAGCACCAAUUAUAUCCUUAAAUGGUUUUCUGAAUGUUAAUGUAUCAGCUAAAUUCCUCAUUUUCCUGUGUAUUUUGUAGUUAGAAAAUGAAGCAGUAAGAUUUCUCUUUCAUACCUAUUAGUCAUCAUUACAUUGCCUAGUAAAAUGGUAUUUCAGAUAUAAUGAUAUUUGCAAACGUAUUUAGACUGAAGUUCUCAACAUGCAUGCUAAAUGUUAACCCAUUAUAUUACUCUGGGUAGAAGCAUGUGGAGAAAAACCAUGAAGAAGAUAAAACAUCAGAGGAAUUUAUGAACAGAACAUGUUUUAUAAACUUUUUCUAUAUGUAACAUUGGCUGACCAAUUAACAGAAGUAUAGGGGCUUUAUAAUGACUGUAGCUAUUGAUAGAGCCUGCUCUAACUCUGGAAACAUUUAGCUACGAAUUACAUUGACGGUUCCAUAGAAGAGAAGCUAUCCCAUUGAUAUUACUUUAGAAGUUUGACUUUGUGUGCUGAAGAUUUUUCUGCUGAACAACAAUAUUUUGCUGAAACUAAAAGUCUUGCAGGAACAUGUAAAAUCUGAUGAAAAUAUAGAUUGUUUCAACAAGAAAUGUAAAAAGAAAUAGUUUGGCUUUGAAGUGACAUUUGGAAAUGGAAUGACAGUCUUAAUUUAGUUUUGCAUGGAGCUAUGCUUCAUUUUAGAUAAAAAUAAGGCAAACCAAAAGCAAUCUUUUGCGUCAAAAUGUUGAUAUGAAAUGACAAUGAUCGAGUUUAGAUUCGCAUGCCCACCUUCCUCUUAAAAUCAAGUGCUAAAUAUCCAAUAUCUUCCCCGACUCUUUUCGAAAAAAGUAUACAUGUUUUAACACCCACAAACAGCUGAAAAGGAGCAGCAUUUUACUCCUGCAAGUAUUAAAAACAUAUGUAUCUGGGAACAAUCUAUGCCUGUUCUGCAUAUGAUGAGGCAGAUGAGGCUAGCUGUAAGUGAACUUGUUUGCACUCCCACAAGAGUAUAGCUGCAGUAGAAUUGAACGCUCUGUGAAUUAAUCUAUCCUGCUUUCAGGCUGCUUGGCAGCUUUUGGCACUCACGCUCAUGUAUUUAUGGCUGGCCUGAGGAUGUACAUGCUGCGUGACAGUGUGUGGCACAGGCAUAUAUCCUUAUUCAGUGUUUAAGCAUGGGUGUAGUUGUUACUCAGAGAUGUCAGCUGGUUAUCUCUUAGAGAACCUACCAUGGGGAUUGCAUGCUGUGGAAUUUACAUUACUGUCUUAAAAUGCUACGUGAUUUCUUUAGAUUAAAGGACACUGUCAAGUUAAAUCAACAUCACAUUUCGAAUUUUAUGUCUUCCCUUUAUUCUUAAUGUGCUUUGAAUUGAAAAAUUUGAAUUUGUUUUCCAUUUGAAUUACUCUACUACCACACUUAGAUUUUAUGCUAAGCUCUGGUCCUUUGCUUGUAAAAAUGUGAUUUCUUCUUGCUUUUAAAUGACUCUGUUUUAAAUUUCUGAAUAAACAGUUAACAUAAAACCAUAUGCUAGGUGUUUGACAAGAAGAAUGUAAUUUCACUUCAAAUCUGCACUUCAGAAAGUCCCAUUACAUUUUCUUUUUUUUCAAAGAAAAUCUGACUUGCCAACUCAGUGUAACUGUAGAAUUUUUCUCUUUAUUGUUAUUAUUAAUUUUUUGUAUGGUGAGAGCACUUUAGCUACCAAUUGAUAGACUUCGAUAGAGUUCUUUCUAGCCCACGAAGAAUGCAUGAAAUGAAUUAUGUACUAAACUACAUACUAAAGGGAGUGAUUAUUCAGACAGACUACAUAUGCCCCUAAGUCAUAUCAAACUGUGAAGAGAGGAAAAAGUAACCUUACUUUUGCAUGUGCACACUUUCAGAACCUGACAUGAUACUAAGAGCAAAUUUAUAUUUUGAGGUUCUAUUACCUGCACUGCGUAUCUCAUAGUGUAUAUAUAUAAAAAACACAGUGCCAUGCAAAGGUAUUUGAGAGAGUUUUAUGUGCAGUAAUAUCUUGUUGCACCACACAACCUGGUUCUAGAGGUGAUAUAGUCACAUUAGCAUUGCACCAUGGUCAGGCCGAUUAGCUGUGCUAGUGCAAAGCUCUCAGAAUCAGCUUGGAUGAAUCUACAUGGAGCUGCAUUACACAGUAGACCUAAUUUAGGUUGCUGUUGUAUUUAGUAAGAGAUUUAAAGAAAAUAUUAAUGGUGGGAAGUUCCAUGCUGUAUUUGCAGAAGAAUGGAAUGUCUUUAAAUUGCUUUACACCUCUUUUGUGUUGAAUGACUCCAAUAUUUGGAGCUAUAACUAAGUUGAAAUCCAAUGACAAUUAAGUACAAAUACCCUCUCCCUUUCCCUUUUAAAGAAAAUCAUAUUUCUUGGGUCUGUGAUAACUUAAAAAUCAUUGCUUGUCAUUAUUUCUCUUCCACUACUUAUAAGUCACAUUCUGAUUUUUUUUCUGGCUUUGGUCUUUGAAGCUGCUAAAGCAAGCAUCAGUGGAGGAAUAAUCUCUUUUCCAUUGUUUGCGAAAAGGUGAUGUAACUGAAAAUUACAGGAACUGAAGGGUAGAAAAAUCGAUAUCCUGAAAGAGGAAAAAAAAAAAGUGCAACAAAGUCUAAAAUUAAAAUGUACUGAAACAGAUUUGUUACAGUACAUAGCAAGCUUGAGUUAAAUGGACUGUUGCCAAAACUGGGUAUUACUUUCUUUAGGACAUGGAGAAUCUAUUUUGAAUUCUAUGAUCGAGCUGGUGAAAACAUAACUCGUCAUAAUGCUAAAAAUAAUAACAAGUUUAGUGCAAGACUUCAGCGCAGCAACUGGUGAUGCCUAUUGACAUGCUUUUAUCAGAGAAAUGGUCUGUUUGGUAAACUGGACAUUGAAUAAGUACUUGCAAAACCUAAGAUCUGUGAUGAAUCCUGCUACUCAUGAUGUUUGUAAUCCUGAGAGUGUAACUCCUUGACUGCUCUUCCUACCUGUUUUUAUGUCUUAGUUUUCUAGGUAGUAAACUCUUUGGAACAGUGCCUAUUUCUUAUUUUCCAGCAAGCUAAGCGAGACUGUAAUUUGUCCUCUGCCUCUGACAAUCCCAUUUCAAAAUUCCAGCUUAAUUUGUCCCUUUGCAAACCUGUUGGUUCCUUCCCAGCUCUUUGGGAUCCUGCCUGUUCCUCCCAACUGCUCUCACCUGUUUCAAAAGCUGCAAGGAUCUUGGAGCCAGCAAUAUCAGGACCAUGUUUCUGAUCUCCUGGGAAGCUAUCAUAGUGCACGAGUCUGACUUGUGUCAUUGUCAAUGUACUUUGGUGUUUCAAGCACAUAUUUUGAUGACUCUUUGGAUUCAUAUUUGUUUCUAGAGCUGAAGAAGUCAAAGUCUUUCUCAGUCACAUAAAUCAACAAGCAAUCAAUGAAAGGAAAGUCUGUGAAGAGAACUCUCAGGUCUGGCUAGGCUGCUUUGAGUUUUCCCAAAGUGAAUAUUUUAUGCCUAAGCUGUAAAGCUGAACAGAUUUUUGACAGCCCUGAAACCAAGAAAACCAAUUUCCAAGGAAGUUUGUAAUUAAGCAAUGUUUAAUGAAGUGUGGGGCUUUCAAAUAUUUUUAAAUUAAGCAAGUUUCUAGUAUUUCUGUGGCAUCAUGCUGUUACAGAAAGGCUAACCAGUUGUGCUACGUUCUGUAGGAUUUUUUCAUGAUGGCAAGAGUAAAUUUCUGUU